AUUGAACGCUGGCGGCAUGCCUUACACAUGCAAGUCGAACGGCAGCGGGGACUUCGGUCCGCCGGCGAGUGGCGAACGGGUGAGUAAUGUAUCGGAACGUACCAUUGAGUGGGGGAUAACGUAGCGAAAGUUACGCUAAUACCGCAUAUUCUCUCCGGAGGAAAGCAGGGGACCGCAAGGCCUUGCGCUCUUUGAGCGGCCGAUAUCAGAUUAGCUAGUUGGUGAGGUAAAGGCUCACCAAGGCGACGAUCUGUAGCGGGUCUGAGAGGAUGUGCCGCCAGACUGGAACUGAGACACGGUCCAGACUCCUACGGGAGGCAGCAGUGGGGAAUUUUGGACAAUGGGGGCAACCCUGAUCCAGCCAUGCCGCGUGAGUGAAGAAGGCCUUCGGGUUGUAAAGCUCUUUCGGCCGGGAAAAAAUCGCAUGGGCUAAUACCCUGUGUGGAUGAUGGUACCGGAAUAAGAAGCACCGGCUAACUACGUGCCAGCCGCCGCAGUAAAAC
rnacentral:rRNA from 1 species